rnacentral:rRNA from 1 species
ACGUAGGGGGCAAGCGUUGUCCGGAAUUAUUGGGCGUAAAGCGCGCGCAGGCGGUCAUUUAAGUCUGGUGUUUAAUCCCGGGGCUCAACCCCGGAUCGCACUGGAAACUGGGUGACUUGAGUGCAGAAGAGGAGAGUGGAAUUCCACGUGUAGCGGUGAAAUGCGUAGAUAUGUGGAGGAACACCAGUGGCGAAGGCGACUCUCUGGGCUGUAACUGACGCUGAGGCGCGAAAGCGUGGGGAGCAAACAGG